AUGUCCAGCAUUUUCUUUAAUGUCCUCUACUCUGCCUCUGUCACCAGAGUGUCCAGCUUCAUGCCAACCACACUGGACCAUUGCAUCCAGCCUGCCAUUAUCACCAAAGACAUCUGCAUGGUCUUUUACUCCCGAGACCCCAAGAUGUCCCCACCCCGUUCUCUCAAGAACCUCUUUGGGACUGGAUACUCCAAAACUCCUGACUGCAACCGAGUGACUGGGAUCUACGAGCUGAGCUUGUGUAAGAUGUCUGACACUGGAAGCCCAGGGAUGCAGAGGAGGAGGAGGAAGGUCCUGGACACAUCAGUAUCUUACGUGCGUGGAGAGGAGAGCCUGGCUGGCUGGAGGCCCAGAGGAGAUAGCCUCAUCCUAGAGCACCAGUGGGAGCUAGAGAAGAUGGAGCAGCUGCAGGAGAGUACAGACUUUACAAUACUAACCCUCCCCUCUUCUCCCAUGACGAGCUUCAGCAGUGCCACCCUCACCCCUUCCUCUACCUGCCCCUCUCUGUCGGACUCCCGCUGUGGCUCCAUGGACCAGAAGACCCCUGAGAACAGCUCACGUGCCUCCAGUCCCUCCUGCUCAGACUAUGAAAAUUUCCCGAUGGUUCCCACUCUGGAGACCUCCUACCUUGCGCGGGCUGCAAAGAACGAGUUCCUCAACUUGGUGCCUGAUAUUGAAGAAAUGCGACCAUUCAAGCAGAAAUGA